AAGAGAACAUUCCAGAGAGUUUGUGUGGUCCCCAGGACACAGGUCAUGGCCUUUGUAAAAAGACAUGAAGUAUGUCACUGAGUGGGAAGGGAAGAGAGAGAAGCCAUUCCCAGGACAGCAGGCAGAGCAGGAAUCCACAGGGCACUCUGGAAGGAAGCAAACUCUUGGAGUCUAGGCUUUGCAGCAGAAUCAUCUGGAAGGCUUGUCAAAAUACAGGUGUCCGGGCUUCCCCCUAUAAAUGCUGACUCAGGAGGUCUGAGCUGGGGCCUGAGAUUCUGUAUUUGUCGCAGAUGCUAAAACUGCCAAUCAACGAAUCAUGCUUUCAGUAUCAUUGCUCAAUACCUAGAUUACACUUUGAGCAAAGGCACAAAUAUCUCACAUAUGAUCUCGUGUCCAGAAACAACCAGCAGCCCUCCCAGGGAUGUGAUAGCACAGUGUAUCCAGGUGUGAAGAGCCAGCCUCGGGCAGCCUGGCAGUUAGGAGCAUGGACUCCAAAGGUGCCUGGAGAACUCAAGUCAUUCCUGACAUGUUACAGAGUCCUGACAUGUUACAGAGUCCUGACCAACUUGAGCAUGUGAAGAAGUUCACCGUGCUUCAUCCUGCUGAUUUGAUUUUCACAUUUGAUCACCACGGCUUCUCCAGGCAAAUUCUGCUGAUUAUAAUGGGAAUCUGAGGAAAGAAUGGGGAUGACUCCUUGCACCCCCAUCUCCCUCACCAAGAAGAAACAUAAAAAACGCACAUCCUCAUGACUGUCUCCUUUAAAAAUAAAUGACAGGGU
rnacentral:lncRNA from 1 species